rnacentral:rRNA from 1 species
AUACGGAGGGUGCAAGCGUUAAUCGGAAUUACUGGGCGUAAAGCGUACGUAGGCGGUUAUUUAAGUCAGAUGUGAAAGCCCCGGGCUUAACUUGGGAACUGCAUUUGAAACUGGGUAACUAGAGUUUAGUAGAGGGGAGUGGAAUUUCAGGUGUAGCGGUGAAAUGCGUAGAGAUCUGAAGGAACACCAGUGGCGAAGGCGACUCCCUGGACUAAAACUGACGCUGAGGUACGAAAGCGUGGGUAGCAAACGGGAUUAGAUACCCCAGUAGUCC